rnacentral:rRNA from 1 species
UACGAAGGGGGCUAGCGUUACUCGGAAUCACUGGGCGUAAAGCGCACGUAGGCGGCUUUUUAAGUCAGGGGUGAAAUCCUGGAGCUCAACUCCAGAACUGCCUUUGAUACUGAGAAGCUUGAGUCCGGGAGAGGUGAGUGGAACUGCGAGUGUAGAGGUGAAAUUCGUAGAUAUUCGCAAGAACACCAGUGGCGAAGGCGGCUCACUGGCCCGAUACUGACGCUGAGGCACGAAAGCGUGGGGAGCAAACAGG